rnacentral:rRNA from 1 species
GGUAGUCCACGCCGUAAACGAUGUCGACUUGGAGGUUGUGCCCUUGAGGCGUGGCUUCCGGAGCUAACGCGUUAAGUCGACCGCCUGGGGAGUACGGCCGCAAGGUUAAAACUCAAAUGAAUUGACGGGGGCCCGCACAAGCGGUGGAGCAUGUGGUUUAAUUCGAUGCAACGCGAAGAACCUUACCUGGUCUUGACAUCCAGAGAAUCCUGCAGAGAUGCGGGAGUGCCUUCGGGAACUCUGAGACAGGUGCUGCAUGGCUGUCGUCAGCUCGUGUUGUGAAAUGUUGGGUUAAGUCCCGCAACGAGCGCAACCCUUAUCCUUUGUUGCCAGCGGUUCGGCCGGGAACUCAAAGGAGACUGCCGGUGAUAAACCGGAGGAAGGUGGGGAUGACGUCAAGUCAUCAUGGCCCUUACGACCAGGGCUACACACGUGCUACAAUGGCGCAUACAAAGAGAAGCGACCUCGCGAGAGCAAGCGGACCUCAUAAAGUGCGUCGUAGUCCGGAUUGGAGUCUGCAACUCGACUCCAUGAAGUCGGAAUCGCUAGUAAUCGUGGAUCAGAAUGCCACGGUGAAUACGUUCCCGGGCCUUGUACACACCGCCCGUCACACCAUGGGAGUGGGUUGCAAAAGAAGUAGGUAGCUUAACCUUCGGGAGGGCGCUUACCACUUUGUGAUUCAUGACUGGGGUGAAGUCGUAAACAAGGUAACC